rnacentral:tRNA from 1 species
GUGGUUUAGUUCAGUUGGUUAGAGCAUCCGGCUCAUAACCGGGGAGUCAUAGGUUCGAGUCCUGUAACCACC